rnacentral:rRNA from 1 species
GACGUAGGGCGCGAGCGUUGUCCGGAUUUAUUGGGCGUAAAGAGCUCGUAGGCGGCUUGUCGCGUCGUCCGUGAAAACCUGCAGCUCAACUGCAGGCUUGCGGUCGAUACGGGCAGGCUAGAGUUCGGUAGGGGAGACUGGAAUUCCUGGUGUAGCGGUGAAAUGCGCAGAUAUCAGGAGGAACACCGGUGGCGAAGGCGGUUCUCUGGGCCUGUACUGACGCUGAGGAACGAAAGCGUGGGGAGCGAACAGG